UCACUGGGCACAAAAAAAAUAAAGAGUGAUUUGGUGAUGGGAUACCAACCUCUGUGCAGUUAUUCCAGUGAUGAUGAGAGAAAACAAAAUCUGCCUGAAGAAUGUUUGCUCAGAACAGUCAUCUUGGAAUUGGGAUCCACCAGCUGGCAUAGUGGGAUUUGAAUCUGUGUCCCUGAUAGCAUUAGCCUGUGCCUCUACAUUGUGAGGCCAGUGAAGUUACCACAACAACAUUUCCCUGAACAGGAAGAGACAAGCUCCUGAAACCCCGAGGGCGCUCCCUGUCUCUCCAGGAACUCAGUCACCACAAUGCGCAUGCAGACUAAAUGGCACCAGGAGACUUGAUAUGAAUGCUCACUGGCCUAUGAAACUUCUCCAGCCAGGAUGCUGAAUAUUAGCACCUAUUUGUGUAGAUUAACUCAUCUCCUGUUACCAUUGUUAACUGACUGAUACUGCUGGACUAGCAGUAUUGUUUCUAUCAACUGUGACUGAAACUGUAUUGUCCUGUAAUUAACAUCAAUAUCAUGUAACCCUAUAAGAACUGACUGA